UGCAAAUUUUGAAAAUGAUGU
rnacentral:piRNA from 1 species